rfam:Xenopus laevis strain J chromosome 5L, whole genome shotgun sequence.
GGGGAUGUAGCUCAGUGGUAGAGCAUAUGCUUCGCAUGUAUCAUGCCCUGGGUUCAAUUCCUGCCAUCUCCA